CUCACUAUGGUCGGGUGCGGCUGUGGUGCGGGAUAGAUAGCGAUGGCCGGGUGGUCUGUUUUAUAGAGAGGGAAGGGCACGGGAUACAGGAGACUGAGGAGCUGGAUAGCAAGGCGAGUGGGCCACGUGGCUGGGUUUCGUCUCAGGGAAGAUUCGUUGUUCAGCGUUGGCUUGCGCUUGCAGGUGUGGUGGCCACGUCCGUCGUGGGUUGGAUCAAAGGAGAGACCGUGUCCAUGUCCGUGUAGCAUGUCUGUGUCCGUGUCCGUGUCCGUAUCAUAUGCCUAGUGCUCAACCUCGUUGAUUCUAGAGAAGUGUCCGACCAGCGGUCGGGGCGUCUUGCAGUCCGAUCUAUCAAACUGCACCCCACGCCGAGUAGUUCCCGCUCGAUUUUCCCGCCUUGACACCGCAAUACAUCGCCAAUAGUUUUCCCACGUCAACCCGCGCGCAGCUGCAUGCGGCAGCACAGCUAGCUCUGACGCAUGCAUCUAACAAAUUUCAACACACUCAAAAAGUCAUAGCUCCUAAACAAAACAUUCAAAUUAAAUUCCGAUUGUACCAUCGUAUUCCUUACAAUAAAUCCUUGAAAACAAGAUCUCACUUGGAUAUAUUUAAAUAAAAUUUUAUUUUUGAUUAUUUGUCUUGUAAACAUAAAUUGUUAUUCUAAAAAAUAGACAUAAAUGCAGGAUAGAACAUCGUUAAAAACAUGAUAUAACAUCGCUAAAAAUAUGACAAAAUAUCGCUAGUAAGCAUGACAGAAUAUCAGUAGUAACAUGAUAGAACAUCGCUACACACAUGACAGAACGUCGCUAAAGACAUGAUAGAACAUCGCUAAAAAUAUGACAAAAUAUCGCUAGUAAACACGACAGAACAUCACUAGUAACAUGAUAAAACAUCGCUACACACAUGAUAGAACAUCGCUAAACAUAUGAUAGAACAUAGCUAAAAAUAUGACAAAAUAUCGCUACUGAACAUGACAGAACAUCACUAUUAACAUGAAAGAACAUCGCUACACACAUGAUAGAAUAGUGCUAAACACAUGAUAGAACAUCGUUAGAAACAUAUUAUAACAUCACUAAACACAUGAUAGAACAUUGUCAAAAAAAUAUAUUAGAACAUCGCCUAAUAUAUGAUAGAACAUCAUUGAAUAAAUAAUAGAACAUCGCUAAAAACAUAACUAGAAAAAGAAACAAAAUCAUGUCUGAAGAAAGGACAUAAAAGGUAAUAAGAAAAAGGAAAGGAAAGAAAAGAAAAGAAAAGAAAAGAAAAGAAAAGAAAAAAUAAAUGAAAGAAACAGAAUAAUAUAAAAAGAGUAAUAAAGAAUAGCAUAAAACAAAAAUAAAUAUAUAAAUAAAAAAGAAAAAAGAAACGAAAAAAAGAAAGAUUACAUACGUAGUACGUACCUGAUAGGCUGCAUGUAAUACCCGAUUUUAAGAACAAAAUCAGAUACGCACCAUAUGUGAGUUUUAGAAGUCAAAUCCCACAUAUAGCUACAAAUAAGGGGUAAUAUCAAAAGACAAUGCAUAAAUAUAUAACAUACUUAGUAUAAAAGAUAUAACCUGUGAUAGCAAACAACGGAUAGACAACUCCAAACUUCGGGUAUUAACUUCUCUCUACAGGAUCAACUGACUGGUUGAUCACAAGCCUAAACUUCUCCUGAGGUUUGGGGAAAAUAGCAAGAGUGAGUCCAUGUCGAACUCCACAAGUAUAGCAACUAGAUUGUAUAGAUCCCACAAUCUCAUGAUCAGUGUGACAAAUAAUGUAGAGCAUUAAACAAUAAACAAUGACAUAUUUAACACACAAGAAUCAUCACCCUUAAUGUAGAUGUCCCCAAGGCCGCUCCUGACCGUGAGCUCGGCUAGUAUACUAGUUUUAACACUCUGCAGAGGUUGUACAUCUUUACCCAUGAGUCAUGAUUUACCCUUUCGCCCGAGGGUGAUCAGCCUCUUAACCCACUUCCAAGGAAGGUCGGCAGGGAUCACUAUGAAGCCUUUCAAAAGUUCGUCAUAGGGCCGCAAGGUUUCCUUUGCACGUAGAUAUAGAGCCCCCCUUCCGAUGGCACAAUGACGCGCAGCCUAUACACAUACAGACAGAGGCCACACUAUACCCAAAACGGUUCAGCCCCUCCGCCCUUUCGGGUAACCUCUAACAAGCUAGAAAAGGUCUUCAUACUGAGCUAAAGCCAGAGCCAUUAUAGCCCUCAUGGUUGCACUGUUGUCCAGGGUGAUCACGUACAGAAAAAUCAAGUUGCUAAAAAGUCAUUUUUAUCGUUUAUUACUUAACAUUAAUCUAGUCACAGGAUCAUGGUCACAGAAAUAAAAUCCAAACGCUAUACUUGCCUUAAUCCAAAUGCUCUUGCUGAUCUUGCUAGUUGCCCAAGGCUCUGAUCUUGAUCAAUGAAGUACUCCGGUUCACCACGAAUUGCUCACCGUCUAAUCCGACCAUCGAUCAUCAACACACAAACAAUCGAAGACAACAUACACGAAGCAAACAAGACUACAAUUAGAACAGUACACCAAACAUGUAAAAACAGUAUGAAAAGUUUAUAAAAUAAUUCUACGCAUCGCUACGAUCACACAGACGUAAAUAUCACGAAAAACGAAGUUAAAACGGAGAAGAUAUGAUCUAAACAAACUAGUGUAUUUUUUUGUAUUUCUAGAUUUAUUUUUUUUAUAGAAAAGCGGCAACUAAGCUCAUCUUAUGUCAUCAAGCUAGCAAAAGCAAAUUUGGGCACGUACGGCUGCUCAGCUAGUUGAUUAGCGAGCAAGGUCAAUCUGAGCAAUGGCGAUGGGGGUGCUAGAAGGGAAGGCGUCUGCAAAUUCUGGAACCUCGGCUCAGGGCUCGGCUGACCGGCGUGUGGACUGUCGGCGAGGCUUCGUACGGCAACCACGAUAUGGCAGCUUUGUCGGUGAGAUCCCAAGACGAACGUAGCAAAAUUAGGCUGGGACUUAAGCCAACACAGAGAGCAAGAGGAUCGGGUUCCUUACCUCUGUACACGAAGCAAGGUAGGCGAUACGGCAAAUGUUGAAGUCCUCAUAGAUAAAGCAGACGGACGCAUACGUACGUCGUGAAACAAACAAUGGCACGGGUCACCGGGUCUUAGUAAGAACGGCGGCAGCGACGUUGGCUUCUAGAUAUGUUGCAGUGAUGACCUGAGGUAAACGGUGGUGAAGAGAUGACCGAAAUAAUGUAAUUGAAUACCGUGGAAUUCCUAGACUAGGGCUUCAUUUACGGUAUUUUUUUUUUUGGAUGUUUCUCCUAAGGGCUUGGUGCAUAUAUAUAUAUAUGGAGGAAAACUCUCCACAUCUACAUCAAUUAGCAAUAUGGUACUAAUUGAUGUUGCCCCUUCCACCUUUACUAAUAGGCCUAACUAAUUAUUAAAGCCCACUAGUAAAUAAAUACAUUGGCCUUUGAGAUCAUGGGUUCAGCGUUGGGGUAGAAUGAAAGAUUUAUUAUUUUCGAAAUUAACUAUUUUUGUGAAUAAGAUAUUUCUAGAAAAGUCCAGAAUUAUUAUUUAAUUUAUAAAAAAUAUUUCAAAAGCUCUGAAAAUUCGGGAAAAAUUCUCGGAGAUAUUAUGAAACAUGAGGAACCCAAAUAAAGCAUUUGGAGCUCAUGAUAAGAUAAUUUGGAGCAUCUAAAAUUAGAUUAUGCUCCACGGAAAAGGCUAGAAAAAUUCUCGAGAAGUUUAUAGAGAUUGCUUGAU
rnacentral:lncRNA from 1 species